rnacentral:miRNA from 1 species
GGUAUCUAGCCUGGGCAUGGGGGUGGGAGUGUGUGUGUGUGUGUGUGUGUGCGCGCGCUCACGCACGCGCGUGCACACAUGCUAAGGCUUUUCCUGAGG